CUGACAGAAACUGGUUGUGAAAAAUUUAUUAAAUCUUUUACAGUUAGAAGCAGCAGUAGAACUUCUGGAACAUGGAGCCCUGCAACACAAACAGUCAGCUGGUAGCAGAUCCAAAGAACAAAUCCUGAGAGCUCAGAGACCCACCUCCAACAUGUUCAGUAUGCUUUGACUGGAACUUGGUCGCCCUUUGGAGGCAGGUAGCCCUGUGGAGGCAGGUAGCCUGGGUAGCUGAACACUGGACUGUACAGAGAGUCUGUGGGGACGUAGCGGGUCUGAGAGAAAUGGGCUCUUCCUCUCCUGUAGCGGGACCGAGAGUGGAAGUUGUAGACUGGAUCCAGAUCGGACACAUCAGUGAAGAAGGGCCCAUCAGGGGUCUGGUCAGUGCUCUGGUAGCUGUAGACGCCUGGAUAACCGCCAUAGACGCCUGGAUAACCGCCAUAGACGCCUGGAUAGCCGCCAUAGACAUAUUUGACCUGCUGGUCGGGUUUGGUGGUUGUAGAGGGAACGGUCGGGUCAGGACUUGUUGCUCAAGUAUGUCUAUGGCGGCUAUCCAGGCGUCUAUGGCGGUUAUCCAGGCGUCUACAGCUACCAGAGCACUGACCAGACCUCUGACCAGACCCCUGAUGGGCCCUUCUUCACUGAUGUGUCCGAUCUGGAUCCAGUCUACAACUUCCACUCUCGGUCCCGCUACAGGAGAGGAAGAGCCCAUUUCUCUCAGACCCGCUACGUCCCCACUGACUCUCUGUACAGUCCAGUGUUCAGCUACCCAGGCUACCUGCCUCCACAGGGCUACCUUCCUCCAAAGGGUGACCAAGUUCAAGUCAAAGCCUACUGAACAUGUUGGAGGUGGGGCUCUGAGCUCAUGAAUUGUUCUAUGGAUUUGCUGCCACCUGACUGUUGCAGGUCUCCAUGUUCUAGAAGUUCUACUGCUGCUUCUAACUGUACAAGAUUUAAUAAAUGAUUUUCAGAACUAGCCUUUGUCUCAGUCUUCAUCACUUGAUCCUGAACAUGUCUGACAGCUGUGCUAAAUGAAGGCUUCUUACAGGCAGCAUUGCAUGACUAUUAGCUUUAGUCUUCAAGCAUUUAAAAGCUGCAUCUUGUCUCUGAAGGUCCCGGUAGUGAUUUAGGGAGAAGAACUGGAUCUAAACAUCUCUGUUGGGCCUGCUUCACAUUACAGCCUGCGUGUUUGAGAUUAUUUCUGCUGCUUUUUUUUUUUUUUUUUUUUUUAAAAACCUGAGGUCAAAGUUUUUCCCCAGCUUGUAUGCUUUGAAACCUGUUUGCUUAUGUAAUGUACUUCGAACAUGCCAUCAGCACUUGGUAAGGUGAAGGCCAUUCCAAAUUUGACUGGAAAGAACCCAAACUUCACUGACGCAGCCAUCUGCCUCAACUGUUAUG
ensembl:lncRNA